rnacentral:lncRNA from 1 species
UGUGUAGCUGUUGACACAUGAUUCGAAACAUAUAUAUUUGUGAAACGGAACUGCUGAGUCUGAUUCCAACCUGGUUUGAUUCUAACGAAUGAUUUCUAUAUGUUUGUUAUGUUCUUGAAAGUAUUGUCACUUAAGUUUUGGUUUGUUUAUUUAUUUUGGUCCUCAGUGUUGUGUUUAGUUAUGAUUGUUAUUUUUUUUGGCAUGAUUGAAAUUUUUGGUAACCAAGUUAAAUUAUCACUGUAAAGUGGCAAAAUGUACAUUUUUGUCAAACAGAGAUCUUGCAUUGUACCUUUGAAAAUAUAGUUUUGUUUUACUUGUGAUCAUUAUUUAAUUAAUUCAAAUAAUAGAAAUAUCAGUGUA